UAUAUCAAUUAAACAUUUUAUUUCGAAUUAGAUAGUCAAUACCAAUACUAUGGUUAUUUCAUGUACAGGCUUCCUUAUAUAGUCAGUGCUCGCUACUUAAACAGUAGCACAUGCGCACUCACAUUUCACCUCUGCAAUUAUUGCCACAUUUUCAGCCGGACCGGUUAAUUUCGAAAUCUCUCUUGUUAGACAUCGCUCUUAUUUUGAAACUGAAUCUAAUCUUGUGUGGCUUUGACUAUAAUGGAGCAUAUUUACUCGAUUAAUAUACCAUUUGUUUCUAAUGUUAAAAAAAAAGAUAAUCUGGAAUUUUCAGUUGUAUUGAUGAAAUACCUAAUAAACACAAGAAUAUAAGACUGGAUAAUGGUAAAAAAAAAAUACAAUGAAAAUGUACACUGACGUUUUAUUUAGGCAUCUUUGGAAAUUGUAGCAAAGGAAUUCACACGGAGAUACGUUCUGUCGGAAGAAGGGCAGUUGCGUGUCUGUUUUCCUUUUCUGUAGCGAUAAUGGUAUUCUAUUGCCUCUGGAACCGAAGAUGAAACUUGCAGAACUUUUUAUAUCCAUUGCAGUAGAAAUAAAAAAUAUACAUAUAAACUCGA